rnacentral:rRNA from 1 species
GGGGAAUAUUGGACAAUGGGCGCAAGCCUGAUCCAGCCAUGCCGCGUGGGUGAAGAAGGCCUUCGGGUUGUAAAGCCCUUUUGUUGGGAAAGAAAAGCAGCCGGCCAAUACCCGGUUGUUCUGACGGUACCCAAAGAAUAAGCACCGGCUAACUUCGUGCCAGCAGCCGCGGUAAUACGAAGGGUGCAAGCGUUACUCGGAAUUACUGGGCGUAAAGCGUGCGUAGGUGGUGGUUUAAGUCCGUUGUGAAAGCCCUGGGCUCAACCUGGGAACUGCAGUGGAUACUGGCGAUCUCGAGUUCGAGAGAGGUUGGUGGAACUCCGAGUGUAGAGGUGAAAUUCGUAGAUAUUCGGAAGAACACCAGUGGCGAAGGCGGCCAACUGGCUCGAUACUGACGCUGAGGUGCGAAAGCGUGGGGAGCAAACA